GAUUAAGUUAUUAAGGGCGCACGGUGGAUGCCUUGGCACUAGAAGCCGAUGAAGGACGUUACUAACGACGAUAUGCUUUGGGGAGCUGUAAGUAAGCUUUGAUCCAGAGAUUUCCGAAUGGGGAAACCCAGCAUGAGUUAUGUCAUGUUAUCGAUAUGUGAAUACAUAGCAUAUCAGAAGGCACACCCGGAGAACUGAAACAUCUUAGUACCCGGAGGAAGAGAAAGAAAAUUCGAUUCCCUUAGUAGCGGCGAGCGAAACGGGAAGAGCCCAAACCAACAAGCUUGCUUGUUGGGGUUGUAGGACACUCUAUACGGAGUUACAAAGGACGACAUUAGACGAAUCAUCUGGAAAGAUGAAUCAAAGAAGGUAAUAAUCCUGUAGUCGAAAAUGUUGUCUCUCUUGAGUGGAUCCUGAGUACGACGGAGCACGUGAAAUUCCGUCGGAAUCUGGGAGGACCAUCUCCUAAGGCUAAAUACUCUCUAGUGACCGAUAGUGAACCAGUACCGUGAGGGAAAGGUGAAAAGCACCCCGGAAGGGGAGUGAAAUAGAACCUGAAACCGUGUGCUUACAAGUAGUCAGAGCCCGUUAAUGGGUGAUGGCGUGCCUUUUGUAGAAUGAACCGGCGAGUUACGAUUUGAUGCAAGGUUAAGCAGUAAAUGUGGAGCCGUAGCGAAAGCGAGUCUGAAUAGGGCGUUUAGUAUUUGGUCGUAGACCCGAAACCAGGUGAUCUACCCUUGGUCAGGUUGAAGUUCAGGUAACACUGAAUGGAGGACCGAACCGACUUACGUUGAAAAGUGAGCGGAUGAACUGAGGGUAGCGGAGAAAUUCCAAUCGAACCUGGAGAUAGCUGGUUCUCUCCGAAAUAGCUUUAGGGCUAGCCUCAAGUGAUGAUUAUUGGAGGUAGAGCACUGUUUGGACGAGGGGCCCCUCUCGGGUUACCGAAUUCAGACAAACUCCGAAUGCCAAUUAAUUUAACUUGGGAGUCAGAACAUGGGUGAUAAGGUCCGUGUUCGAAAGGGAAACAGCCCAGACCACCAGCUAAGGUCCCAAAAUAUAUGUUAAGUGGAAAAGGAUGUGGCGUUGCCCAGACAACUAGGAUGUUGGCUUAGAAGCAGCCAUCAUUUAAAGAGUGCGUAAUAGCUCACUAGUCGAGUGACACUGCGCCGAAAAUGUACCGGGGCUAAACAUAUUACCGAAGCUGUGGAUUGUCCUUUGGACAAUGGUAGGAGAGCGUUCUAAGGGCGUUGAAGCAUGAUCGUAAGGACAUGUGGAGCGCUUAGAAGUGAGAAUGCCGGUGUGAGUAGCG
rnacentral:rRNA from 1 species